rnacentral:lncRNA from 1 species
UGCAUAUCCCAGUGGCAAGGAACAGGGGAAAUUGCUGGACCAGAAAGUAAAGCUUCCAAGAACAAACAGCAUUGGAAGAAAAAUUUGCCUUAAAGCUAUGGUUUCUCAUGUGGAGUAUGACCAAUACUCAGAGAGAAUCACUUCAAACGCUUGCUCCCACACCCCUCAGGUCAGUGGGAAGUUAUUGGCAACAUUCCUUUGGUGUGCCGGCCAAUUUUUUCUACAUCCUGUCAAACCUGCUUCCAGCAUGGUGAUGAGGCUACAAAAUGUUGAGGCUGAAAACCUGGAAAUGCUGAUAACAAGAAGGCCCAGUAUUUCUGUUCUGAGAAAUAAUGAAAGUCUUAGAGGAACAGCCAUCCAAGCCCAAUGAAAGAAACUCAGCUUUCACUCAAGACUUUGAUCGAAUUACGGGAAAAAUAAACGGAGUAAAAUUAAUGCUGGCUCUCACUAAAGCCCAUGCCGAAUUUGGACUGAACAUAGGACCAAUACGAGGAAACCCAAAGCAACAAACAGUACCAGAGGCAGAUCCAGGUUUUGCGAAGUCUGAAGCUUAUUUAAUUUAAAACAAAGGAGUAAAGAACACCUCUUAAUUCAUUGUACAAAACCAGAAAAAGAUAUCACAAGAAAAGGAAACUACAGUCCAGUUUCUCGUGAACAUAGACACACACACAAGUUCAUUAAUCUGGAAUGUGCAGUAUGGUCUAUUAAAUACAAAAAAAAAUUGCUAAUAUUGCCAAUGACCUACCUUGGGAAGAGAUGGACUUCAUGUUGGAAGGCUUCAGUUCAAAUUUCAGCCUUUUUGAAUGGAAUGUUGGGAAAAGUAAGCAAGUUAUCUAUUUAUGAAUAGUUUACAAAGUUACCUAUUUAUGAACUCCAGGUAAAUUUCCCACAGAUGUAUCUGUCUUACCAAUUGUCACAUAAUAUUUGUAUUAAUAGCUUAUUUUUAGAAACACAUUCACAAAAAGAUCUGUGAUAUUUUGGAAGAGCACAAAUCAAU